rnacentral:rRNA from 1 species
UACGUAGGGUGCAAGCGUUGUCCGGAAUUAUUGGGCGUAAAGAGCUCGUAGGCGGUCUGUCGCGUCGGCUGUGAAAACCUAGGGCUUAACCCUGGGCCUGCAGUGGAUACGGGCAGACUAGAGGUAGGUAGGGGAGAAUGGAAUUCCCGGUGUAGCGGUGAAAUGCGCAGAUAUCGGGAGGAACACCGGUGGCGAAGGCGGUUCUCUGGGCCUUACCUGACACUGAGGAGCGAAAGCGUGGGGAGCGAACAGG